AUGAGCGUGAACAGGGAUCACAUAGCCUUGGCAGCCAAGAGCUCUGACAUGGACCAAGGGACCAGAUCUUGGGGGCUGUGGAUGGAUAGUCCCUCCAAAGGCGCUCCUGUGUGGGCAUCGGGUGCAUUGAAGUUCUCCGCUCCCAGACAUGGGUCCCUUGGCUUCUUGCCUUGGAAGUGCAGCAGCAGGCAUCGUGGGAAGGUGAAGAGCUUCCCCAAGGAUGACCCUUCCAAGCCGGUCCACCUCACAGCCUUCCUGGGAUACAAGGCUGGCAUGACUCAUAUCGUGUGAGAGGUCGAUAGGCCAGGAUCUAAUGUGAACAAGAAGGUGGUGGAGGCUGUGACCAUUGUGGAGAUGCCACCCAUGGUGGUUGUGGGCAUUGCGGGCUACGUGGAAACCCCUCGAGGCCUCCAGAUCUUCAAGACUGUCUUCGCCGAGCACAUCAGUGAUGAGUGCAAAAGGCGUUUCUAUAAGAACUGGCAUAAAUCUAAGAAGGCCUUCACCAAGUACUGCAAGAAAUGGCAGGAUGAGGAUGGCAAGAAGCAGCUGGAGAAGGACUUUAGCAGCAUGAAGAAAUACUGCCAAGUCAUCCGCGUCAUUGUCCACACCUAGAUGCGCCUGCUUCCUCUGCACCAGAAAAAGGCCCACCUGAUGGAGAUCCAGGUGAAUGGAGGCACCGUGUCUGAGAAGCUGGACUGGGCCCGUGAGAGGCUGGAGCAGCAGGUACCUGUGAACCAAGUGUUUGGGCAGGACGAGAUGAUUGACGUCAUCGGGGUGACCAAGGGCAAAGGCUACAAAGGGGUCACCAGUCGUGGGCACACCAAGAAGCUGCCCCGCAAGACCCACCGAGGCCUGUGCAAGGUGGCCUGUAUUGGGGCGUGGCAUCCUGCCCGUGUGGCCUUCUCUGUGGCACGUGCUGGGCAGGAAGGAUACCAUCACCGCACUGAGAUCAACAAGAAGAUCUAUAAGAUCGGCCAGGGCUACCUUAUCAAGGACGGCAAGCUGAUCAAGAACAAUGCCUCCACCGACUAUGACCUGUCUGACAAGAGCAUCAACCCUCUGGGUGGCUUUGUCCACUAUGGUGAAAUGACCAAUGACUUUGUCAUGCUGAAAAGCUGUGUUGUGGGAACCAAGAAGCGGGUGUUCACCCUCCGCAAGUCCUUGCUGGUGCAGACCAAGCGGCGGGCUCUGGAUAAGAUUGACCUUAAGUUCAUUGACACCACCUCCAAGUUUGGCCAUGGCUGCUUCCAGACCAUGGAGGAGAAGAAAGCAUUCAUGGGACCACUCAAGAAAGACCGAAUUGCAAAGGAAGAAGGAGCUUAAUGCCAGGAACAGAUUUGCAGCUGGUGGGGACUUGAUAAAAGUUAUUUUCCACUGAAAA